rnacentral:rRNA from 1 species
CAGUCGAGCGGAAAGUGCUAGUAAUAUCACUUUUAGCGGCGAACGGGUGAGUAAUGCUUAUCUUACCUACCAUUUAGCGGAGGACGUGUUAGAAAGGUCCUGCAAAGGAUUUUCUAACUAAUACUGUAUACUCUUUGGCUUCGGUCAAAGGAAAGGGAGCCUUCAGGCUCUCGCUAAUUGAUGGGGAUAAGUCGCAUCAGCUAGUUGGUGGGGUAAAGGCCUACCAAGGCUAAGACGCGUAGCCGGGCUGAGAGGCUGAUCGGCCACAAGGGAACUGAGACACGGUCCCUACUCCUACGGGAGGCAGCAGUGAGGAAUCGUCGACAAUGGGGGCAACCCUGAUCGCUGCAAUGCUACGUGAAGGAUGAAGGUCUACGGAUUGUAAACUUCUUUACUUAGAUGUACUCCUAAAAGCUUGCAUCUGAGCAAAAAGUCACGACUAACUAUGUGCCAGCAGUCGCGGUAAGACAUAGGUGGCGAACGUUAUCCGGAAUUAUUGGGCGUAAAGGAUGCGUAGAUGGCAGAGUAAGUUACUGGUUGAUGUCAAACUCAAUUUGACGGAAGCUGGUAAUACUGUUUUGCUAGAGGGCAGGAGAGGUUGAUGGAAUUCUGUGUGGAGCGGUGAAAUGCGUUGAUCUACAGAGGAACACCAAAAAAGGCGAAGGCAGUCAACUAUCCUGUUCCUGACAUUGAGGCAUGAAAGCGUGGGGAGCAAACCGGAUUAGAUACCCGGGUAGUCCACGCCCUAAACGAUGAGCAUUAGAUAUUAGGCGGUAUGCUUAGUGUCGCAGCUAACGCUUUAAAUGCUCCGCCUGGGGACUACGGCCGCAAGGC